GCGGAUUUAGCUCAGAUGGGAGAGCGCCAGACUGAAGAUCUGGAGGCCCUGUGUUCGAUCCACAGAAUUCGCA
rnacentral:tRNA from 1 species